rnacentral:rRNA from 1 species
UACGUAGGGAGCAAACGUUGUCCGGAAUCAUUGGGCGUAAAGAGCUCGUAGGCGGUUUGUCACGUCUGCUGUGAAAACUCGGGGCUUAACCCCGAGCUUGCAGUGGAUACGGGCAGACUAGAGGUAGGUAGGGGAGAAUGGAAUUCCCGGUGUAGCGGUGAAAUGCGCAGAUAUCGGGAGGAACACCGGUGGCGAAGGCGGUUCUCUGGGCCUUACCUGACGCUGAGGAGCGAAAGCGUGGGGAGCGAACAGG